rnacentral:tRNA from 1 species
GGCCCAGUGGCUCAGUUGGUUAGAGCUCCGCCCAGUCACGGCGGAGGUCACGGGUUCGAGUCCCGUCUGGGUCG